GACGUAGGGCGCGAGCGUUGUCCGGAAUUAUUGGGCGUAAAGAGCUCGUAGGCGGUCUGUUGCGUCGGCUGUGAAAACCCGAGGCUCAACCUCGGGCCUGCAGCCGAUACGGGCAGACUAGAGUUCGGCAGGGGAGACUGGAAUUCCUGGUGUAGCGGUGAAAUGCGCAGAUAUCAGGGAGGGAAACACCCGGUGGGCGAAAGGCGGGUCUCUGGGCCGAUACUGACGCUGGAGGAG
rnacentral:rRNA from 1 species